UGAAUCAGACCCACUUUAGAAACAUGGUACGAUGAUCCAUUUUUAUAUCCAAACCUCAAGCAUUUGUUUGAAAUCUGAGAGCGCCGAAGUUGCAUGUAAAUCCGAAAAAGAAAUCAUCGUCUCAUUAGGUUUUCUUAAUUUUAACCUAAACCUCUCUCACUUCCAAGCAAUUAAUCAUGUCCAACCCGGGACCUGAAAUACUACGAUCGACGGAUUUUCCUCUGAAGAUCUUUAUGCAGUUAACAUGUUCGAUAAAAUGACACAGAGAGAGGUUGUUGGAGACUUGGAGCUUCUGGUACAAAUUGAAAGUGAUAGAAGAUAGAGAACAAUGCAAUACAGCCUGCUCGAAAGAUUUUGAGGACUAUUUGUCAUGAAAGUCGGCUGAGAGUGGUUGGAAACUCCAAAAGGAUACUUUCAUCGACAGCAGAAUCAGCAGAUAUUGUCUCAUAGGCGGCAUACUCACAAGGUUCUCUAUGCAGAAGCUUGUGGCGCAACUCGGUCAGUUUCUUUCUCCACCACCGAUGCCAGCAGUUACUUCGUCAAGGCAAGGGAUGGCGGUGGACUUACCUACUAUUUCUGGUGUGAAGAAAGAUGCACCUAUGGUGCUAGUGACGUAUAGCAAGCAGCCUAAACAGACAGGGGAGCCUUCUUUGCCUAUUACUCUAGAUUUUGAGCUUACCUAGCUUUCCCCCAGAAUGUGGGUGCCCUUGCGGUGUCCCUCCAAAGAAGCGUAAGGCUAGAAGGCUCGCUGGGGCUCAAACAGGGCCGGCCCUGACAUUUUGAGGGUCUGAGGCGAACAAUAGA